rnacentral:rRNA from 1 species
GGCGAAACUGCGAAUGGCUCAUUAUAUAAGUUAUCGUUUAUUUGAUAGUACUUUACUACUUGGAUAACCGUGGUAAUUCUAGAGCUAAUACAUGCUAAAAAUCCCGACUUCGGAAGGGAUGUAUUUAUUAGAUUAAAAACCAAUGCCCUCUGGGCUCCUUGGUGAAUCAUGAUAACUUCUCGAAUCGCAUGGCCUUGCGCCGGCGAUGGUUCAUUCAAAUUUCUUCCCUAUCAACUUUCGAUGUUUGGGUAUUGGCCAAACAUGGUCGCAACGGGUAACGGAGGGUUAGGGCUCGACCCCGGAGAAGGAGCCUGAGAAACGGCUACUACAUCCAAGGAAGGCAGCAGGCGCGCAAAUUACCCAAUCCCGACUCGGGGAGGUAGUGACAAUAAAUACUGAUACGAGGCUCUUUUGGGCCUUGUAAUUGGAAUGAGUACAAUUUAAAUCUCUUAACGAGGAACAAUUGGAGGGCAAGUCUGGUGCCAGCAGCCGCGGUAAUUCCAGCUCCAAUAGCGUAUAUUAAAGUUGUUGUGGUUAAAAAGCUCGUAGUUGAACCUUGGGCCUGGCUGGCCGGUCCGCCUCACCGCGUGUACUGGUCCGGCCGGGCCUUUCCCUCUGUGGAACC